UACGGAAGGUCCGGGCGUUAUCCGGAUUUAUUGGGUUUAAAGGGAGCGUAGGCCGGAGAUUAAGCGUGUUGUGAAAUGUAGACGCUCAACGUCUGCACUGCAGCGCGAACUGGUUUCCUUGAGUACGCACAAAGUGGGCGGAAUUCGUGGUGUAGCGGUGAAAUGCUUAGAUAUCACGAAGAACUCCGAUUGCGAAGGCAGCUCACUGGAGCGCAACUGACGCUGAAGCUCGAAAGUGCGGGUAUCGAACAGGAUUAGAACCCCUAGUCGACUGACUGACU
rnacentral:rRNA from 1 species